GACGCGCUGAGGUGUCCUCAGGGCCCUAAGCCUCCGGCAGGCUCUUUCUCAGGCGGUGGCAGCCCGUGGGAAGCGAGGGGUCCCUGCAGCCGCUCCCUCAGCCGCUCUUGGGCGAGGGGCACGGGCUCCGCCGUGGGCGUCCGGGCGCUCGUCACCGGGGAGCGGAAACGUUAAGGGGAAAAAAAAAAAAGAUAAUAUAGGGCAUACCUGAAGUUCGCUGGCCCUCUUGUACAAAUCCAGUGUGUCCAUCGUCAUUUUGAGGACUUCAAUGUGCGCUUGCAGUAUGUGGAUGAGGAAGUUUAUUGCUGCGAAAAUGGCAUGUAUUGAUGUCAGCACAGCUGAUCACAACUCUUCUCUGAGAGUUUAAUUUCCCAGACCAGCUCCCAUCUCCAGCAUGCUGCUUCUCAGCUGUGUCUAGGUCAGCAUUGCUUGGCCUUAAGGAUAAAGUUCAUCACCUGAUGCUGCUCCUUGCGUUCCUCUGCAUGCUGUUGGCUGCAGGUGAUGCAUAUUCCUGAGACUUGCACAGGUUUUUCUCCUAAGUGUGAUCUGCACAUUUUGAUGGAAAUCUGCAGCUGAUUUAUCUCCGCUUUGCUGAAGUGAAGGUGUGUGGUGUUUAACAUGGUUGACCACCAGCUACUUUUUAGUCUCCUCUUCAACACUGCUAUUAAAAUUUAACUCUCAUGGUAAGAGUGUCUCUAGAUA